AGAAAGAGUAGAGAGAAUAAAGCUGCAACAAGUAGUAUUAGAAGUUGAUUGUUGAAGAAAAAAAAGCAGAAGCAAAGAAUUAAUAAUGGGUGGAAGAGUAGAGAGAAUAAAGCUGGGUUCACAGGGACUGGAGGUGUCUGCACAAGGUUUAGGGUGCAUGGGAAUGUCCGCCUUCUACGGUCCUCCAAAGCCUGAUGAAGACAUGAUCUCUCUCAUCCACCAUGCCAUCCACGCUGGUGUCACCUUCCUCGACACCUCCGACGUCUAUGGCCCCUUCACCAAUGAAAUCCUCCUUGGAAAGGCUUUGAAGGGAGGGGUAAGAGAGAAGGUGGAAUUGGCAACAAAGUUUGGCGGUAGCUUUGCGGAUGGGAAGAUGGAAGUCCGUGGCGAUCCAGGGUAUGUGAGAGCAGCUUGUGAGGCCAGUUUGAAGCGCCUCAAUAUUGAUUGUAUUGAUCUCUACUAUCAGCAUCGUGUUGACACCCGCGUUCCCAUUGAAGCCACGAUUGGAGAACUCAAGAAACUAGUUGAAGAGGGUAAAGUGAAGUAUAUAGGUCUAUCUGAGGCCUCUGCUUCUACAAUCAGAAGGGCACAUGCGGUUCAUCCCAUAACUGCUGUGCAGCUAGAGUGGUCUUUGUGGUCUAGAGAUGUGGAGGAAGAAAUAAUUCCUACUUGCAGGGAACUAGGGAUUGGGAUUGUGGCAUACAGUCCUCUAGGACGAGGGUUCUUUUCGUCUGGGUCUAAGUUUCUUGAAAAUCUGACGGACGAUGAUUUCCGAAAGGUUUGUAGGUCCAUCACUCAAAUGUUGUGCUUCGAAAUGAGAUAUACAUGCAUUUAGUUUCACAGUUUUACAGCAUCAUCAGUGCAUUAUUAGAGAUUUUAUCUCCUCAGUUGGCUCACAUGCUGAUUGACCUUGCAAAUAUCUAUAUGCUUCGCCUGAUUCUCUUAAUGAACUAAUACAGCAUAUAAGGUUUGACUUGUUACCAACUUCGUUAGUGGUUAUAGUAUACAUGUAAUCUAAUAAUCUGAACAAGUGAUUUUCAAUGUCUAAAUGAUUUGCUGAUAACUUCACAGUGCAGAUGUCAAGUGUCUAUUGUAUAUUCGUUAUUGUAUCCUACCUCAUUUCUCAUUUAACCACUUUAUAGAUCAGUUUUCUUGAAAUAGAAUAUUUUCCCAUUUACUCCUUUUCGUUUUACAGAAAACUAUUUUUAUGUAAUGGUUAUGGACUAAUUGUUUGUUGCUAUAUAUUUUGUCAUUGCUCCAAAGAAUUAUAAUAAUCAAUUCUAGAAUCUAUGUAAGUCAUCUAUGAAAGAAGUUUUUGACUUUUUGGAUGAUGUACUCUUGAAAGAUACUGAUUUUAAUAUAUGCCAAUACUUCAGUGGCACAUCAUACUGAUUGAACUGAAUAAAUUAAGCAUGGCAUACCUAGAUUACAAUUGUUAUUUUCCUACCUCUGUUUAUGUCAUCUGUACUGCCUUCUGGAAUCUUUUAGAGUCAUGAAAAUUAAGUGAUGCAGGACAAUUAAGAGAAAAUAAAAGAACAAGAAAACUAAAAGAUAAACCCUAAGAAUCAACACCUAGGGGUUGCUUGGAAUUGGCACCAAGCAAGAAAAUUUAGCCAUCGACACCUAAGUUGUUAGGAAUCAGCACCCAAUGAAUUGAAAAAUCUCCCAUCUGAAUUUCAUUAAUCAAUAGAGCUGUUAGAGGGACACAUGGCUGUGGGUUGUGGAUGAACAUUAGGAAAGGUGCAGUCAUGUGGUGUAUGCAGCGGGAGAGGGUAUUCGCAUUCAAUUCUAGCACGACUCUUGGAGCGGUCCUAUUUCUUUGAAAGAGUUAUAUCAGGAAUUUUUUGUCUGUGCUGUGGUUCAAGAUGCUCUGAUUUCUGAUCUGAUUUUAUAUGCACCAGACGGUGGAGGUAGAAGUUGGAACUUACUUUUCCAUCAUGAAUUUAAUGACUAGGAAAUGGGGAGAUUUCACUCUUUCUUUGAGCAUGUUUUUGCCAGAAUUCCAACGGGGGUGGGUGAUGAUGUUAUGAUUUGGCAGUUGAAUCGUUUAUGGUAUUUUUUUAUGUGCACUCCUUUUAUAAUUCUUUAUUGAAAGCAACUUCUGUUUCUUUUCCUUGGCAAAGCAUUUGGUGUGUUAAGAUACCUAAAAGGUUGUCUUUCUUUUUAUGGAUUGCCGCUAGGGGUGGGAUUCUUACAAUAGAUAACCUUGUUAAAAAGAACUUGCCUCUUGUUAAUUGGUGUUGCCUAUGUCCGUGUGAUGAGGAAACUGUGGAUUACCUUUUACUCCAUUGUAGUUUUGCUCAUGCUUUGUGGAGUGAGGUUCUUCUUUUGUUUGGGGUUCUGUGGGUGAUGCCGAAUUGCAAAUAUAGUUGUCUCUCUUCUUUUCGCUUGGAGGAAUUGAUUGGGGAAUUAUUCUUCAAAUGUUUGGAAUAUAGUACUAGCAUGUCUUAUGUGGUGAGUAGGGAAGGAACACAAUGCUUGAACUUUUGAGAACACUAAGCGACCUAUUUAUCUAUUGAAGAAUUUGCUAGCUAGGACCUUGUUUGAGUGGUCUUGGAUUUUGGGUCUUACACAUUGUAUUUCCUUGUCUUUUUUCCUUAUUUCUGUUAGAGUUUCUAUUUUAUUUAUUUUUUUUUUGUAUUAUUUUCUUUGCUGUGAGUUUACAAUCGUAAACACUUUGCACUUUUGCUAUCAAUAAAAAUUUUAUUACCUAUAAAAAUAAUUAAAAAAAAAAGUCUAAUAAAACAUAAACCACUUGAAGCCAUUAUAUAGAGCUUGCAAGAAUAAAAGUUCAUAAACCAUAAAACUCUAAACUGAUAGUAAUCUAAAGGCCAAUCCUUAUCUAAUCGUCUAAUCCUUAUGUGAACUCAAAAUAAAUUGGAAUCCUAAACUAAUCCAACUACAUAAGAAAUCCAAUCUAAUAAGGUGUGCUGUCCUCAUCAACCCUCCUGGGGUGGGGAAGACUUAGCCCCAUCAAGUAUAACUCUGAGUAGUACUCUAAUAAAUCCGGAUCAAGUUGCUGCGGCAAGUUGCUGCUGUUCAUCACUUGUGAUCCAAGUGCAAUCCGAUAUUGGUAGUCCCUUCCAGUGAACUAGGUACCACUGAAUUUCUCCAUCCCUAGUAGAAAUAAUUUGUUCAUCUAAAAUAGCAUCAAUAUUUUAUUUACAUACUGGUAUAGGGAUUUGGACAAAAUCAUGGGGUUGGUAAUAAACUGUUGGGCCUUUAUAAAUAUCCAAAUUCUCACUAUUAAAGAUCGAGUCAUUUUUAUAAUCAGUUUGAAAAUCAACAAUAUAUGCAUUUGGUCCAACAUGUUUCAACAUUUUGACUAAUUCAAUACUACAAGCUUACAAUUGCUUACUUGGAACCAUGAUGAAAUCCCAUGCUUGAAAUUUCAUGUAAUUUGAAGUAGCAUGAAUUUUAUAGGGAUUAUCAUUUUCUGGAUAUUGUUUACUUACCUCAUGAUGCUUAUAUGUUCCUAUUGACUCUAGUGCCCUAUCAUGGGGUGAAAUGGGAGAGUACCUAAAGGCUUCCUACUUUACUUCAAAUGGAAUCAUGCUUUCAGUUUUGGGACUUUCACAUGCAUAUUGGUUUACAUGGGAAAUGGAAUCCUCACUUUGUCUUUUCUAGAUCACUCUCAUGGGUUGUGAGUUGGUAUCAUUUGAAUGCAAUUAAGUUUAAGGUUUUCCUCGCAUUAAUCAUCUCUGACAUUGACUUCAGCCAUGUUGGGUUCAUACAUUUCUUCUAUAUCAUCCUCUUUAUUCUCUUUCUCCUCUUCAUAGAGGACAUUCUAUAUCGUCCUCUUUAUUCUCUUUCUCCUCUUCAUAAAGGACAAGGGCCUUAGUUGGGCAUUUGGCAGCAAUAUGACCAAAGCCUUGCGAUUUAAAGCAUUGUAGGUGGGAACCUAUCCUUGAUGAUUCACUCUCCACACCUUUUCCUUUAUCAUCCCUAGCUAAUGGUGCACUAAUUGUGUUGGGCAUAGGAGGGGGUAAGGUGAAUUGAGGCUUGCUACUUGAAGAUAGAGGACUGGUGGUGACACUACGGAUUUUGGGAUACCUCACAAACAGGGAUCUAGAAGCUAACUCACAUUUUCUAGCAAGUUCAUAGGCAUGAUCUAUGAACUAAUCCAACUACAUAAGAAAUCCAAUCUAAUAAGGUGUGCUGUCCUCAUCAUUAAGCCAGGGAAAUAGUUGUGGAUGCCUACAGACCUAAAUAGAUGUAUUAUGGAAUUUUUUUAAAACUUUAUAUUCAUCAUUGCCUUUAUAAAUUGUGCUACCUAAAAAUUAUUUUUA